GAGCUGUGAUGGGCCGAGCAG
rnacentral:siRNA from 1 species